rnacentral:lncRNA from 1 species
ACAAAAUGUAAUUUCCAAUUCUCAGCCCUCUAAUUUUCAAAAAGGCAAUCCUGGGGUCGAUUGAAAAUAGAUAAACACCAGGUGAGGACACACUCUGGAAAUUUCAGGUGGGAUCAUCCAGGUGGAAGAGACCCAAGUAUAAUUUAUCCGAUAAGACCCUGAGAGUUGAGACCGCAUUCACCCGACGGAAGGAGAAGCUGCAAAGAUGCAUACACUUGCCAAGCAACCCAGCCUCUACUCUUUCCUAAUCUUCUGAAGAAACUUCUAGACCGGUAUGAUGCUUGCUUCUUGUGGGGACGCGUUUCCUCAUUGGCCUGUGAGCUCAUUGAACAUACUUGAAGACCUUGAUAACUAGGCCCAUCACUGCUAUGUAUGAGACUUCAUUUUGGGAGACAGAG